rnacentral:rRNA from 1 species
UACGAAGGGGGCUAGGCGUUGCUCGGAAUCACUGGGCGUAAAGGGUGCGUAGGCGGGUCUUUAAGUCAGGGGUGAAAUCCUGGAGCUCAACUCCAGAACUGCCUUUGAUACUGAAGAUCUUGAGUUCGGGAGAGGUGAGUGGAACUGCGAGUGUAGAGGUGAAAUUCGAUAGAUAUUAGGAAGAACACCAGUGGCGAAGGCGGCUCACUGGCCCGGUACUGACGCUGAGGCGCGAAAGCCAGGGGAGCAAAGCGGG